AUCCCAAUGAGGAAGCACUCCCCUAAAAUUGAUAGGAAGUGCCGUAUGACACUUAAACAGCAGAGCGUUCACAAUCGUAGCCAUUGCUCUCUCCCAAUUUCACCACUCGCAAAGCCCUUUUGGCUCCUUUCCUCUGUGGAAACGAUGUCGUUUUCCGGUGUCUCUGUUGAUUGGUUGGGAUAGAGUUUUUGAUUACGGUGCUCGCUCUGUGUGUGUGAUUUUAAACGGGUCUCUGAGGGUU